rnacentral:rRNA from 1 species
AUACGGAGGGUGCAAGCGUUAAUCGGAAUUACUGGGCGUAAAGCGUACGUAGGCGGUUAAGUCAGUCAGAUGUGAAAGCCCUGGGCUCAACCUGGGAACUGCAUUUGAUACUGCUUGGCUAGAAUAUGGUAGAGGGAAGUGGAAUUCCGGGUGUAGCGGUGAAAUGCGUAGAUAUCCGGAGGAACACCAGUGGCGAAGGCGGCUUCCUGGACCAAUAUUGACGCUGAGGUACGAAAGCGUGGGUAGCAAACAGGAUUAGAAACCCGAGUAGUCC